UGAAGAUACUGAAUAAAGAAAGUUAGAGAGAUUUUUUUGUCCCUUGUCCUCUCACUUCUCUUGGGUUGCUUAUGACAGCAAUGAAACAGAUCAAAAAGCCUUUUUUUCCUCCGGUUGUUUUAAAUAAUUCUCUAGAUUGUUAACAUGUGCUGGUCACCACUGCUAAUAAACUCUGAACCCACCUGGCUGAAGAGUUACAACUGAACUUGACAUUUUGUCCCUUAGAGACACUCUGUCAUCACACCAUGAUGCAAGGCAGGAAUGAAAGUGCCAGGAGAGCAGUGAAAAGCCUUGAGCUGCUUGACCUGCUGGUGGAACAUUUGUUUUCUUUCUUUCCUUAGCAGCAACAGUAAACAAGCAGAAACACAGGUUUCUGGGCAUGAGGGAGGAUCUGGGCUUUUGGAAGAACCUCUUCUCUGGAGUGAACAAAGCAGAAGAAGAUGGCUGUGAAGAAAUCCUAAUUGUACAGCUUGGACAGUUCUUAAAACUUUCUGGAUGAAUGAGAAUGGCAUCCAAUUUUCAUUCUGAAAGGACUACAAGUAAAUUAACAGAAGCAGAGCCUUGCUAUACUCUCAAAAACAGCUGCUGUCUUUCCAGGGCUACUCUUUAACACAUACUGUCUGAGGAAUAGGCUUUUCAGUAAAAAAAGUUUAUACACUUUGACAGAAAUCUCCAAACAUCUUCCAUCCAGUUACAACAGAUGGCAGUUCAAAAGAUAGAGGACAUCUGUGUAUGACUCAUCAGACUUUGCAAAAGAUUAUGAGAAUUUGAGAUAGAGCUUGCAACAGAUUUGGUUCCUCCUAGGUGAGAAUGGAGUCACCUCCAUAUGGCAAAAGGUCUAAAGAUGAUGCAAAUUUGCAAAGUAAUGUUUGUUGUUGAUCAAGAAGUUACUGUAGAGGUAAUAUAAAGGUCUUGAGGGAAAAGUUACAAGAUGUGGACAUGUAAUGCUUUCAGACAGAAUUUUUUGCUCCUAUAAACAAUUUUUUUUUUUUUUUUCUAGAAUAUUCCUCCAUUUUAUUUUGUAAAAGGAAAAGGCAGAGCCAGGAAAACAGCUAACAGAACAUUCUUUACCAAAAGUCUCAUUUUUAGUGAAAGAAUUAAAGUUUAUGAACUAAACUAUUGUUGCUGGAGUUGUAAAACUCCAGUGAUUCAAUGAUAAUGAUUGUCUCAGCUUUUUCUUCUCUAUUGAAACAUCAUUGACAGCUGAAAAAUAUCAUUUUGUACCAUGCUAAAAUAACUUUGAUGCCUUUGUUGUGAAAGAUGUCAAGAAAUUUCCCACAAUCAACAAUGAUUUUUAUGUCUUCACAGCUGGUCUCACAAUAUAGUCGAACUCAUUUACUGAAGUUAUUACUCUUCGAUGUAUGUACACAAGGCCAUGUAAGAGAAUGAUGCUAAAUAACAGUGAUUGGAAGCUUACCCUCAAAAUCUCUCCACAAAUGUCCCAACAGGUUUAAGAUAUGACCUUAAAUAAGUGGGACAGUUAUCGGUUGACCACAACAAAAUUGACAGAACAACUUUUUAUAGAUGUAAACAAUACAGUGUUGAUAUAUAGAAUGGCCUGAUAUUUAUGUCAUGACCUAUAAGAUCCAAAAAUUUGCAAGUGUUUAUCAUAAACAAAGUAAAUAAUGUUGAUUUUCUAAUCUAUAUUAUGACAUGCAAUCAAGGAAAUAAUAAACUAAAGGUUUUACACCAGCAGUUCAAUUCUGUUGUCUAAAUAUAUGCUACUCUGAUCCAGGGCAAUCGCUACAUCCUCCAGCAGUUGCUGCAGAUGAGCAUGGGCUCCUCUGAGUCUAUUCUGGCACUGUGAAAAUACUUCACAUAGCCCAUGGGAUUU